rnacentral:piRNA from 2 species
UCCUGACGAAGAGCGCAAGAAGAG